CUUCUCUGCUGGGUUAUGCUGAUGGAGACGGCAGUCUUAUCUGAAGGGUUCCUGGCGAAAAGGCUGGACUUCUUCGCCACUUUAACAUGCUGGCAUCUUGGCGGGAAAAACUGACACUAUGAACUAUCAUCAGCCAACAAGCAGCACAUUGUUCACUGAGAGGUUUUCCAUCAAAAGAAAGAUUUGGACAGCUAUUCUAAAAUUCCCCAGAAGAUGAUGGACACAACAGUAUUACAGUUACAAAGACUUAUAUUUGUUCCAGUAUCUCAAAACAUAAUGGAACAAAUAUGUUUAUAUGGAACUAAUGUGUCAAUUUUAAAUUGUGAAAACUGAUCUUUGUUUCUAACGAGCAUCUGUACUGCAUUUAUUUGAAUAUCUGGUCUAUAGCUGAAUAGAACCGCGGCAUUUGCAUCUGACUGCUAUAAAAUACAAUGAGGCGUUGUUGUUGAAGCAGACAAGAUGCUACAAAAAGCAUUGCAGGCCUUAAGUGAUUUACGUUUCGCUGUGAAGACGAGCAUCUGCUCCUUGGGGUGUCAACAUUCCCCUUCUCUUCUAAACACAGAAGUCCGCCUUCCACCAUUUGACCACCGCGACAAGUACCGCGACAGCUACGGCUAUGCAUUCCCGCGACUGCUGGUCUGUGUAACGUGGAGUUUUACGCCAUGAAAAAGGCUCUGUGAACUUAAAGCUCAGGACAGACUGACACGCCACACUAACAGGCUCUGGGUUGUAUAUCCUACCUGCUAUUAAAAGCCAGGCAUGAAAUAUGGCGGCCAUUUUCCUAGGUCUGCUUCUUGUAUUACUUUUUAUAGGCAUGUUCAGCAGCUGCCGCUGAGGGACUCUGUCUGCAGUGUUACCCACUGUGUCACCAGGAGUCAGAAAGGUUCACAUUCCCCAGGGCAGCCUGGCGUAAGAGAGGGAGAACGGGGCAUCUGUCCGUGAGGGGCCCCACUGCUGCCCUAACGCUGACUGUCCACUUAAUGCCCUGCAUCGAGAGUCUCCGUCAAAAGGACGCUUAUCUCCAGAGCUGGACAGGACUUGCCUACUCCACCUGAUCGAGGUCCUGCAUCCUCCUCCUAAUGCAUCGAAUGUGUAUUAUGGAUGAUCCAUGACUUGCAC